GGUCGAGUGGUUAAGGCGAUGGGCCAGAAAUCCACGGGGGUCGUAGGUUCGAGUCCUGCCGACA